GGGGUUGUGGCUCAGCGGUAGAGCACUUGCCUACAUGUGUGAGGCAUUGAGUUCAAUCCUCAGGACCACA
rnacentral:tRNA from 1 species